rnacentral:lncRNA from 1 species
GAAAUUUUUGAUUGAUAAACCUAACAAUUAUCAUAUAUAAGGUUUGUAAUACUUCAAUAUUGUUGGAAUAAAGCAUAGCACACAAAAGCCUAUUUAAUUAAAUCUUUUCAUUUAUCAUUUUCUCAUUAUUUGCAAUAUAUAUAUAUCCAGACCCCCAGAUAAACUAUAGGGAAUUAACUAAUCUAUUUGAUAAUGUAUACAGAGAAUAGAUAUAUAUUACUAGGAUUAUAAAGGAAUCAAAACAAAUCUGCAAGAAUAUCUGAUAUAUAUUUUCACAAUAUGAACA